ACGCAGCUGACUGCGGAAGACAUUACCGAGUGCGGGUCCUUUGGGCCCAACCUCCCAUCCGUGUCUAUUGUACCCUGUUGCUUCGGCGGGCCCGCCGCUUGUCGGCCGCCGGGGGGGCGCCUCUGCCCCCCGGGCCCGUGCCCGCCGGAGACCCCAACACGAACACUGUCUGAAAGCGUGCAGUCUGAGUUGAUUGAAUGCAAUCAGUUAAAACUUUCAACAAUGGAUCUCUUGGUUCCGGCAUCGAUGAAGAACGCAGCGAAAUGCGAUAACUAAUGUGAAUUGCAGAAUUCAGUGAAUCAUCGAGUCUUUGAACGCACAUUGCGCCCCCUGGUAUUCCGGGGGGCAUGCCUGUCCGAGCGUCAUUGCUGCCCUCAAGCCCGGCUUGUGUGUUGGGUCGCCGUCCCCCUCUCCGGGGGGACGGGCCCGAAAGGCAGCGGCGGCACCGCGUCCGAUCCUCGAGCGUAUGGGGCUUUGUCACAUGCUCUGUAGGAUUGGCCGGCGCCUGCCGACGUUUUCCAACCAUUCUUUCCAGGUUGACCUCGGAUCAGGUAGGGAUACCCGCUGAACUUAAGCAUAUCAAAAGGCCCGGAGGAA
rnacentral:rRNA from 2 species